UAGCCUGGUAGCGGGGGGUAACUAUUGGAAACGAUAGCUAAUACCGCAUAAUAUUAAUUAUCGCAUGAUAAUUGAUUGAAAGAUGCAACUGCAUCACUACCAGAUGGACCUGCGUUGUAUUAGCUAGUAGGUGAGGUAACGGCUCACCUAGGCGACGAUACAUAGCCGACCUGAGAGGGUGAUCGGCCACACUGGGACUGAGACACGGCCCAG
rnacentral:rRNA from 1 species